CGACUAAUUUUAUUUUUAAACGCUCCGGUCGAGCCUCCGCGCAACAACCAAUAGCAGGUGUAUCUCUUGUUCGCUAUAUAUCAAUAUACAUCCAUGUGCCCAACGCCACUGCCAUUAUUUACAUCAUGUGCGAUUGUCGCUCUUUAAUAAAAACUAACACGUGGUGGAAAACUUCAUGUUGACUCAAUGAACAUGUUUUUAUUAAUGCGUACUCUUCACUUUUCUUCUACCCUCAUCAACGUUUUUAGUCCGUGAUAUUCGAUAUUUUGCGUUUCGCGUUUCACCGCAGCAGACGUAACUGAAAAUUUUAUCGUUAUUUUUCGACGCACGACGUAACGAAUUACACAAACGCGUAGCGUCGACUGGCAAUCCCGGGCACUGCUUUAUCGACCUACGCAACAGUCAAAACUUUUUCUUCGCCUGUGCUUUUACUGCUCCAGUGCGCGCAUUAUUUACUCGUAUUUUCUUAUCGGAAACGUAUGUGUGUAUGCGUGUGUGAGUAUGUGAGAAAUUCAAUACGAACAGUCGGACAGACAUGUGGAUAAAUUGAAUUGUUUUCGAAGCGAAACCACCGAUUUGGGUACACAUACCGUGCUGUCAUAACCGUGUUCUUCAACCGCGACAUGAAAAGAAGAUCGCGUGCAUGUGAGUGUUAUUUAUCUUCUCUACAUGCAGUGAUUUUUGCUGAUCCGUAUAAGAUUGUUCUGUGUGAUACACCGUGAAAAAAAACGAGUUACUUUAAAUUAUAUAUGCAUUCGUAAGUCUUGGUUCACUGCUGCUCAUACUCUGCUCGUAAUCACUGUUUUCCAUGGCAUCUAAACAAAGAAAUUGGUUUUUUCCGGAGCUCGAUAGCCUCGCAAUUCCGAGGAACAUUGGAAUUUUCAAUAUUAUGAUUAUUCGAAAAAUUAGAUGAUGAUUAGGAUGAAAGAAACGCGACGAUUGCAAAAAAGAUUUGUGCAUGUUGGGAUCGCAAAAUUCUUUUUAAAUCUACUUUUUUUGUUUCUCGAAUGUAAAUUAUUUCAUUAUCGAAAAGAAAAACAUUUCUGUGCUUCAAUUCAUAUUUCUUACAACGAAUUGUUCCGAUAACUUCCACAAAUGGUUUUUGAUAAUGAUUCAAAGACAAACCUCCGGUUCAAACGAAUACUCAGACCAUAAAUUGAUGACGAAAUUUCUUACGAACAACGAGAAAUAAUCAAAGAAAAAAACUCCGAUGGUGAGCCACGCAUUUUGUAUCGACCCUAUUUUUUCUCGUUUCUUUCGCGAUUUACAUCAAUGACGGACGCAUUCUAUGGAAUCUCCGAGCAUUAUAAGUCCGAUGCUCGCGCUCGUUGACGCGCAUAUAAUUUAUCAAUUGCGUAACUAAAUGGAAAUUAAAGAGUCAAAGACACGGUCAAUGGCAAACGGAGGUCAAACGUCUAGGCGCGUAGGAAGAGAAAACACUUUUCGUGAGCAGUCAGAUCAUUUGUCAACAUUUUAAGGAUGUAUGUAUAUAAGGUCAAUUUCGCAGUACAUUUAUUUAUUUUUUAAGGUUAUGUUUUAUGUUAAAAUGUCAAUGGUGAAUCAUUUCUGUUUGCAUUUUAUAAUUUUUAAUAAAAAAACUAUGUCAUUUUGAAUCAUAAUUUACGAUUUUUACUAAAAUUAAUAUCCAAUUUGAUAACUGUGAUCAAGCACAAGCGAGCCAAUCAAAUUACAUGUCCAAUAUGGCGGACGUACUAACUACAGAAUGCCGCUGAAACGUAAAAAGUUAACCCCAAAUAUCUCCACAACGACGACGCCUGUACCCGAAACUUCUUAAUUCUUAAAUAUUUCUUUCAAAUUCAUGGAAAGUUUGACACGCCGAUAUUUUUUACAUACAUCCUUAAUUCCAUUUGUAGAUAAAAAUAUUUCGUAGUUUUCCUCAAACACUCCUUAAAUACGAUAACAACAUUUCGUAAUUGUGAAUCAUUUUCCCGUCUACCAGUUUUGAAUUUAGUGAUUCAAUGAAAAAUUCAUUUGUAUUAUUGAUAAACUACAAUUUAGGUUAGCUAAUUGUAAGUGACAGUUUAUUAUUAUUUUAUUUUAUACGUAAAAAUGUGAUGAAAAUAAAGACAGCAAACCCUGAGUCGAUUAGUAUCCUCAA